rnacentral:rRNA from 1 species
GCAGUCGACGGUAACAGGUGUAGCAAUACAUGCUGACGAGUGGCAGACGGGUGAGGAACACGUACGCAACCUCCCCCAAACCGGGGCACAACCUUGAGAAAUCAGGGCUAAUUCCCCAUAACAUUGCGAAAGGGCAUCCAAUUGCAAUUAAAGAUUCAUCAGUUUGAGAUGGGCGUGCGUUCGAUUAGCUAGUUGGUAGGGUAACGGCUUACCAAGGCAACGAUCGAUAGCUGGUGUGAGAGCACGACCAGCCACACGGGCACUGAGAUACGGGCCCGACUCCUACGGGAGGCAGCAGUAAGGAAUAUUGGUCAAUGGACGAAAGUCUGAACCAGCCAUGCCGCGUGAGGGAUGAAGGUUCUCUGAAUUGUAAACCUCUUUUAUUUGGGAAUAAACGUUCCGUUUCUACGGAAUUUGAAGGUACCAGAUGAAUAAGCACCGGCUAACUCCGUGCCAGCAGCCGCGGUAAUACGGAGGGUGCAAGCGUUAUCCGGAUUUACUGGGUUUAAAGGGUGCGUAGGUGGAUUGGGAAGUUAGUGGUGAAAUACUACAGCGCAACUGUGGAACUGCCAUUAAUACUAUCAAUCUUGAAUACAGUGGAGGUGGGCGGAAUGUGUCAUGUAGCGGUGAAAUGCUUAGAUAUGACACAGAACACCAAUUGCGAAGGCAGCUUGCUACACUGUCAUUGACACUGAGGCACGAAAGCGUGGGGAUCAAACAGGAUUAGAUACCCUGGUAGUCCACGCCCUAAACGAUGUUCACUCGAUCUCGGCGAUACACUGUCGGGGUCUAUGCAAAGCAUUAAGUGA